GACGAACGCUGGCGGCGUGCUUAACACAUGCAAGUCGAACGGAAAGGCCCUGCUUUUGUGGGGUGCUCGAGUGGCGAACGGGUGAGUAACACGUGAGUAACCUGCCCUUUACUUUGGGAUAACUUCAGGAAACUGGGGCUAAUACCGGAUCGGAGCUCCUGCUGCAUGGUGGGGGUUGGAAAGUUUCGGCGGUUGGGGAUGGACUCGCGGCUUAUCAGCUUGUUGGUGGGGUAGUGGCUUACCAAGGCUUUGACGGGUAUCCGGCCUGAGAGGGUGACCGGCCACAUUGGGACUGAGAUACGGCCCAGACUCCUACGGGAGGCAGCAGUGGGGAAUAUUGCACAAUGGGCGGAAGCCUGAUGCAGCAACGCCGCGUGCGGGAUGACGGCCUUCGGGUUGUAAACCGCUUUCGCCUGUGACGAAGCGUGAGUGACGGUAAUGGGUAAAGAAGCACCGGCUAACUACGUG
rnacentral:rRNA from 1 species